rnacentral:lncRNA from 1 species
GCUAGGUUACUAACGAUGUGUCCUCGUAUGCUUACAGAAGUUCUUGUGACAACUCUCUGCGGCGUAAUGGCAACAAACGGCUUCAUCAAUAAAGCAUGUUCGCCGUCUGGUUAUAACCGCCGUAGCAGAGCACGACACGGCGUUCCAAGGAACUCAAAGGAGCUCAAACAUUUUGCUUUUCUUGUGUUCUGCCGAGUGGCGUCUGGCAGACACACCGCCCGUCCUCCCGCGUGAAAGAAGGGUAGACGCGAGACGACGCAAGAGAGGAAAGAAGAAAAAAAUGAACAGCGAAGAAGCAACACUGACUCCGAGCAGAGACGGCCGUCUAGCGUUUCUUGCAGCGACCGCGGAAAGACAAGGCCCCAGCCUUGUGACACGUCACCAAUGGCCUCGAUGUCAGUGCAACUCGGGGCCGACGGGCCCGACGUCCUGGCCGCGAAGCAACCGCCUUCGACGGCCACUAGAGGGCAAGUGGCGAUUUGUACCCGUCACCUUACAUCCGUCACCCUGGGAUGCCCGUUGCGCUCCACUUAGAUGAACUCGCCUGUGUUCACCUGUGCUUUCCCACGCUCGGAAAACAUCUUGCUCAAAUAAACCUGGACACGCCAUUAAAACACCAUCGCAGCA